rnacentral:rRNA from 1 species
AUUGUUAGUUGCCAUCAUUCAGUUGGGCACUCUAGCGAGACUGCCGGUAAUAAACCGGAGGAAGGUGGGGAUGACGUCAAAUCAUCAUGCCCUUAUGACCUGGGCUACACACGUGCUACAAUGGUUGGUACAACGAGUUGCGAGUCGGUGACGGCGAGCUAAUCUCUUAAAGCCAAUCUCAGUUCGGAUUGUAGGCUGCAACUCGCCUACAUGAAGUCGGAAUCGCUAGUAAUCGCGGAUCAGCACGCCGCGGUGAAUACGUUCCCGGGCCUU